UACGUAGGGUGCGAGCGUUGUCCGGAAUUACUGGGCGUAAAGAGCUCGUAGGUGGUUUGUCGCGUUGUUCGUGAAAACUCACAACUCAAUUGUGGGCGUGCGGGCGAUACGGGCAGACUGGAGUACUGCAGGGGAGACUGGAAUUCCUGGUGUAGCGGUGGAAUGCGCAGAUAUCAGGAGGAACACCGGCGGCGAAGGCGGAUCUCUGGGCCAUUACUGACGCUGAGGAGCGAAAGCGUGGGGAGCGAACAGG
rnacentral:rRNA from 1 species